GAGGGAGCGAUUUGAGGCCUCGUUCCAGGACAUGGAGUUGCUCAACGAGAAUGAGAGCUUGUCCUGCCAGCCAGAGCGCUAGACCUACUUGGCCUGCAGAGUACGCAAGGCCAAGAAGAACCGGCCAUCAUCAAGGUCAGGGGGAGACUGAGAUCUCAAAAUUAUCAAGAAGCUGAAGCUCCCCAACUCCCGCUUCCUGGCGCCGAAUCCACCAUUCAUCACAGGGACAGACAAACAGAGGACACCUGCAGCUCCCCUAACUCAGCUAAACGCAGGCUGAUGGGAGGACGCCGAACUGCAAAGCCGCAGCUCCCCUCCCCCACCUAAAA